UCCGGUUUGUCACCGGCAGUCUGAAGUGAGUCCCCAACUAAAUGCUGGCAACAUGCGACGGGGGUUGCGCUCGUUGCGGGACUUAACCCAACAUCUCACGACACGAGCUGACGACAGCCAUGCACCACCUGUGAUCCUGCCCACAAGGGGAAACCGUGUUUCCACGGCGGUCGGGAACAUGUCAAACCCAGGUAAGGUUCUUCGCGUUGCGUCGAAUUAAACCACAUGCUCCGCUGCUUGUGCGGGUCCCCGUCAAUUCCUUUGAGUUUUAGCCUUGCGGCCGUACUCCCCAGGCGGGGUACUUAUUGCGUUAGCGACGGCACCGAAGGGGUCGCUCCUCCCGGCGCCUAGUACCCAUCGUUUACGGCGUGGACUAC
rnacentral:misc_RNA from 1 species